UACGGGGGGAGCAAGCGUUGUUCGGAUUUACUGGGCGUAAAGGGCGCGUAGGCGGCGCGACAAGUCACUUGUGAAAUCUCCGGGCUUAACCCGGAGCGGCCAAGUGAUACUGUAGUGCUAGAGUGCGGAAGGGGCUACUGGAAUUCUCGGUGUAGCGGUGAAAUGCGUAGAUAUCGAGAGGAACACCUGCGGCGAAGGCGGGUAGCUGGGCCGACACUGACGCUGAGGCGCGAAAGCGUGGGGAGCAAACAGG
rnacentral:rRNA from 1 species